CGUGGAGCAUGUGGUUAAUUCGACGCAACGCGAAAACUUACCUGGCUUGACAUGCUGGUAGUAGUGAACCGAAAGGGAAACGAUCCUGAGCAAUCAGGAAGCCAACACAGGUGCUGCAUGGCUGUCGUCAGCUCGUGUCGUGAGAUGUUGGGUUAAGUCCCGUAACGAGCGCAACCCCUAUUGUUAGUUGCCAUCAUUCAGUUGGGCACUCUAGCGAGACUGCCGGUAAUAAACCGGAGGAAGGUGGGGAUGACGUCAAAUCAUCAUGCCCCUUAUGACCUGGGCUACACACGUGCUACAAUGGUUGGUACAACGAGUUGCGAGUCGGUGACGGCGAGCUAAUCUCUUAAAGCCAAUCUCAGUUCGGAUUGUAGGCUGCAACUCGCCUACAUGAAGUCGGAAUCGCUAGUAAUCGCGGAUCAGCACGCCGCGGUCGAAUACGUUCCCGGGCCUU
rnacentral:rRNA from 1 species